rnacentral:rRNA from 1 species
UACGUAGGUGGCAAGCGUUGUCCGGAAUUACUGGGCGUAAAGGGCGUGUAGGCGGUCUGAUAAGUCAGACGUGAAGUCUCUGGGCUUAACCUGGAGGCUGCGUUUGAAACUGUCGGACUUGAGGACCGGAGAGGGCAGUGGAAUUCCCAGUGUAGCGGUGAAAUGCGUAGAUAUUGGGAGGAACACCAGUGGCGAAGGCGACUGCCUGGACGGCACCUGACGCUGAGGCGCGAAAGCUAGGGGAGCAAACGGG